rnacentral:lncRNA from 1 species
AUGAAGGACCCACACUGCCUUUGUGCAGUCAAGGUUACCUCCACGCUGUGCUCUGCAGCAGCCUCGUGGUGCUCACACCCAGCUCACUGCCCGCUCUUCCAGCCCCAAGACCCUCCGUGCCCAGCAGAACCUUUGCCACGUAUCUCUGCUUUCCUAACGGCCCUUGGAAGCCACGCACCCAUCUGUCAGCUUCAAAGAAAACUUGGAAGAGAAGAGAGCAGCCAGGGGUUGGAGCUCACAGGGCAGGGAGCAGGCAGAGUGCUGGGUAUCCCAUCCUGCUUGGGCAAAGCACGUGCAGAAAGCCCUGCAGGAGGAAAUCAUCUGUGCUGGAGGGGACUGGGACAACUGCUCAGCAGCUGCUGGAAGGUGUUGAAACGUCCCUGGGAUGUGCUGGUGCAUAACAGACACCCGUCAUGGGAUCCUGCUCCAGGCAGGUCCAGACAGACUGGAGAAGAACUCGUUGAGAGCAGCCCUGCGGAGGACUUGGGGUCCUGACGGGCAGAAGCAGGACAUGAGGCAGCAGUGUGGGCCUGCAGCCCGGAUGGCCGACAGUCCUGGGCUGCAGCAACAGAGGGGUGCCUGCUCCACAUCUCCAAUAUCGCUGUUGUUCCCCCUGGACCCAGCCUGAGCUGCCAGCAGUAUCUCCCAACCGCCUGCCCUUGCAGGGAGCGCAAGGAAACAACAUUUAUUUGCAAAUACGGCUGUUAUUGAGCCAAAUGAGAGGGAUUAUUAGGGGCUCGUGGAAUUGUCAGCGAGCACUGUUUAAUUAGAGCUCAGACAUAACAUUCAUCGUUACCCGUAGCUCCGCUCUGAUCUCAGGCUCUGUACCCCCAGGCUUCCCUGGCUGCAGGGAGCGCAGCGAGGCCGGCUCUCCCCAGCUCCCUCAUCAAAUACCUGCUCCAGCCUCUCAAGGUUAGCACGAUGGGGGUCAGCCAUGUUUAAACGUUGAUUACAGAGUCGGCAGGAGCCGCUAAGAUUUCUAAUUAAGAUUAAAGAAUGCACACGGCUUAUAAAUGGUUCUCAGGAAUGUGUAAUUUGAUUAGCUUGUUUUCUUGCAUCUCUUUCAGACCCGAGUUGGUCGGGAUGGCCCAGUCCUGGGGUCUUCCCAUUUGUGUCCCCACUCUGAGCCUAUGGAGUUGAUGCUGAGCAGCUCUGUCCCCAUCUCUGUCACCUUUGCUGUGUGGUCUCACCCCACACUGGCUCUGCAAAAUGUUUGCAGACACCAAGCUGCUCAGCAUCACUGCACGCUCAAAGGCAUGGCAGUGGAGUGGGAGAUGUGUUGUUUUGCUUCUGUGACAUUCAUUUAUACGGCUUUUGCUGAUUUAUUUCACUUCAACGUCGCUUGGGAAGGGAGGAGGCAUCAUAGCUUGGCUUGUUUGUGCUGUGACAGCCAUGAGAUUGAGCAAAACCAUCACAGCCUCCUCUGGGGUGUUAUUGCUGGAGGACCCAAAGCCGUGCUCGCAGGCAGCUCCUGGCAGUGGGAGCCGUGCUGGCAGCUGCCCAUGCCUGGGGCACACAGCACUGCCCCACAUUCCUUGGAACCAUCCCAAAUCUGAGCUAGACACCCCCGAUCUGAAACGGGAUGCCUCAUCCCAAGGCUUCCACCUGUGCUUUGGGGUAGUUGCUCCUCAGCUCUUGCUUAGAGAGAGAGAAGUGGAGGGGAAGUGAGGCAGGUGGUCACCAAGAGGAUGCUGCCUUGUUCUGCUUGGGAGGAGGAGGCAGCAUGACAAGAGCAAGAGAGAGAACGUGUGCAUGCAGCCUUGGGCUCAUGAUAGAAGCGAAGCUUGAACUUGAAUCCUCUGCUCCCUUUGGAGCUACAGAAACCUCUCGGAAAAUCGGUUUCUUCUGCUUCCUGGUGGUCCCUUGGGUGGUGCUGCCCAGCACCCAGCACCAACCAGCAGUUCCCUCUGUGCUGGCCUGGCAGUGAGUGCAGGCAGGGGGCAGAGCCAGCAGCAGCUCCGCGUACCUGCGCACGGGACAGCUGUGCAUCAAUAUUUAUUCAAAACUCCCAGGAAACCUGGAUGAAGUGUAAUUAUCUCAGCUCAAUCAACUUGGAUUAGCAUAACAUCAAGUCACCCAUCAGACUGGGGUUUGAUUUCUGGGAUCAAAGCCGCGCACUGCAGCCGCUGAUGAAUCAGAUUCGAGGGAGGCAGGAGAAGAAAGCCACGUGCUCCGCUGCUUUGAUAUCCCAAUUGCAGUUGAGUUCACUUUCUCCUCUCAAACUUCCCGUUCCUCUGCCUGCCUACAGGCACUGGGGCUGUUUCUGCCUGCAGUCCCAGCAGAAGCAGACAGAAAGGCAGCCCAGUGGCUAAACUGUGAAAGGAAAGGAGAAAAUGUUGCACUUGAUGGGUUUGGUGAAGUUUGUCCUCAUAGGAAAGGGCUGCUCCUGGGGAAGGUGCAUCCCCAGCACAUCCCCAUCAGUCCCUACUGUGGGCAGCACUGCGUGGCAGCAGCCCUCAGCACUGUGCAGGAUCCUUCCUUGCAAGCAUCUAACCCCUACCGCCACUCCCCUUAAUUAAGAACUAAAUAUAGAUCUUAAUUAAGGCACUGAUGAAUUUAAUUUAGAGUGGCAUUACUGCCUUAACUUCCAGAGCUCAAUACCUUGUUUGUAUAAUGUAUAAUAUAAGCUAAAUGAGUGCUUACUUGUUACCACCAUAAAUAAUUCCCUUGCAAAUCCCUUCAGAUAUGUCUCAGACACUAAUCCAUCUCCUCCUACAGAAUAUUCAUGGGCACCAAUCCUUUUUCAUCCUACCUCACAGAUUUUAAUAGAAAACCUCCCGGCAGCUUGCCAGCAUCACCUUCCAAAACCAGUAGGUGCUGGGGCAGGGAAAGGAGUGCAUGGGGCGGAGUGGGAUGGAGUUGCUCUCUGGAUUAGCUCCUGGUUACAGGUUGAGGAGCACCAGGAGAGCACAAUUCACCUCCCAUCCUCAUCUUCACAUCCUGAGCUGGACCAGCUCUGGGAAAUAGCUCCGUGUGUGCGCUCCAAGGCAAAGGACUUGGGGUCCUGAUGGACAGAAGCGGGACGUGAGGCAGCUGAGAGUCCCCUGGGCUGCAGCAACAGAGGGGUGGCAGCAGGGAGAGGAGAGGGAGGGGGUUGUGCCCCUCUGCUCUGCCCCUGGAAGGCCCCACCUGCAGUGCUGUGCCCAGGCCUGGGGCCCCCAGGACAGGAGGGAUGCGGAGCUGCUGGAGCGGGUCCAGAGGAGGGCACGAGGAUGCUCAGAGGGCUGGGGCACCUCUGAUUGAAGACAGGCUGAGGGAGCUGGGCUUGUUCAGCUUGGAGAAGAGAAGGCUGUGCGGAGACCUCAUUGUGGCCGGCCUGUACUUGGAGGGAGCUUACAAGCAGGAGGGGAG